rnacentral:rRNA from 1 species
UAAUUCCAGCUGAAAAAGCGUAUACGAAUAUUGUUGCAAGUUAAAACGCUCGUAGUUGAAAUAAAAAGAGAAAGAGAGAGAAGAAAAACAAUUGUUUUUCAAUCUUUAUUCUUAUUUUUUUAAUUUUAUAUAUCUACCUAAAAAAAGAUAUAUAGUGUUUACUUUGAAUAAAUUAGAGUGCUUUAAGCAGAUUAAAAAUAUUUUGAUAUUUUUUUUGACGUUUUGAAUAAUUUAGCAUAGAAUAAAAUAAUAAGAUUUGAAAGAUAAGAUUUGGUAAUUAUGUAGCAAAUAAUGAUAAAUAGGAAUAGUUGGGGGUAUUUGUAUUGAAUAGUCAGAGGUGAAAUUCAAGGAUUUGUUCAAGACAAACAUCAGCGAAAGCAUUUACCAAAGAUAUUUCCAUUAAUCAAGAACGAAAGUUAGGGG